GCAUUGUUGGGGUAGUGGUAACCUGGGUCGUUGCCAUAAGAACGGUCUUAUGACCUUGCUCAUUCGACCCGCCCCGGGUUCGAUUCCCGGACAAUGCA